rnacentral:rRNA from 1 species
AGCAGCCGCGGUAAUUCCAGCUCCAAUAGCGUAUAUUAAAGUUGUUGCAGUUAAAAAGCUCGUAGUUGAAUUUCGGGAUUGACACAUCGGUCGUGCCUUAAGGGGUAUGAACUGGUGUAGUCAAUUUCUCACCUUCUGGAGAACCGCGAUGCCCUUAAUUGGGUGUCGCGGGGAACCAGGACCUUUACUUUGAAAAAUUAGAGUGUUUAAAGCAGGCAUUUUGCUUGAAUACAUUAGCAUGGAAUAAUAAAAUAGGACGGCAUGAUUCUAUUUUGUUGGUUUCUAGGAUCACCGUAAUGAUUAAUAGGGAUAGUUGGGGGCAUUAGUAUUCAAUUGUCAGAGGUGAAAUUCUUGGGAUUUAUUGAAGACUAACUACUGCGAAAGCAUUUGCCAAGGAUGUUUUCAUUAAUCAAGAACGAAAGUUAGGGGAUCGAAGACGAUCAGAUACCGUCGUAGUCUUAACCAUAAACUAUGCCGACUAGGAAUCAGACGAUGUUAAUUUUUAAUGUACUCGUUUGGC